UACGGAAGGGGCUAGCGAUGGUCGGAAUUACUGGGCGUAAAGAGCGCGUAGGCGGCUUACCAAGUUGGGGGUGAAAUCCCGGAGCUCAACUCCGGAACUGCCUUCAAAACUGGUAGGCUCGAGUCCGGAAGAGGGGCGUGGAAUUCCCAGUGUAGAGGUGAAAUUCGUAGAUAUUGGGAAGAACACCGGUGGCGAAGGCGGCGCCCUGGUCCGGUACUGACGCUGAGGCGCGAAAGCGUGGGGAGCAAAUAGG
rnacentral:rRNA from 1 species